rnacentral:rRNA from 1 species
AUUGAACGCUGGCGGCAGGCCUAACACAUGCAAGUCGAACGAGUGGCGGACGGGUGAGUAAUGUCUGGGAAACUGCCUGAUGGAGGGGGAUAACUACUGGAAACGGUAGCUAAUACCGCAUACCAUCGGAUGUGCCCUGAUGGGAUUAGCUAGUAGGUGGGGUAAAGGCUCACCUAGGCGACGAUCCCUAGCUGGUCUGAGAGGAUGACCAGCCAGACUGUAAAUGAGACACGGUCCAGACGCCGACGUGAGUCAGCAGUGGGGAUUAGUGCACACUGGUCGCAAGCCUGAUGCAGCUAUGCCGCGUGUAUGAAGAAGGCCUUCGGGUUGUAAAGUACUUUCAGCGGGGAGUCGUUACCCGCAGAAGAAGCACCGGCUAACUCCGUGCCAGCAGCCGCGGUAAUUC